UACGUAGGGGGCUAGCGUUGUCCGGAUUUAUUGGGCGUAAAGAGCGUGUAGGCGGCCAGGUAGGUCUGGUGCGAAAACUCGAGGCUUAACCUCGAGAUGUCAUCGGAAACCAUCUGGCUAGAGUCCGGAAGAGGAGAGUGGAAUUCCUGGUGUAGCGGUGAAAUGCGCAGAUAUCAGGAAGAACACCAAUGGCGAAAGCAGCUCUCUGGGACGGUACUGACGCUGAGGUGCGAAAGCGUGGGGAGCAAACAGG
rnacentral:rRNA from 1 species